UACGGGGGGGGCGAAGCGUUGUCCGGAAUUAUUGGGCGUAAAGAGCUCGUAGGCGGUCUGUCGCGUCUGCUGUGAAAACCUGGGGCUUAACCCCGGGCCUGCAGUGGGUACGGGCAGACUAGAGUGCGGUAGGGGAGACUGGAAUUCCUGGUGUAGCGGUGAAAUGCGCAGAUAUCAGGAGGAACACCGGGUGGCGAAGGCGGAUCUCUGGGCCUUACCUGACGCUCAGGUGCGAAAGCUAGGGGAGCGAACA
rnacentral:rRNA from 1 species